AGCAGCCGCGGUAAUUCCAGCUCCAAUAGCGUAUAUUAAAGUUGUUGCAGUUAAAAAGCUCGUAGUUGAAUUUCGGGGUUAGUAGGUUGGUCAUGCCCCUGGUAUGUACUGGUCUCACUGAUUCCUCCUUCCUUAUGAACCGUAAUGCCAUUAAUUUGGUGUUGCGGGAAAUUUGGACUGUUACUUUGAAAAAAUUAGAGUGUUUAAAGCAAGCUAACGCUUGAAUACAUUAGCAUGGAAUAAUGAAAUAGGACGUUCGAUCUUAUUUUGUUGGUUUCUAGGAUUGACGUAAUGAUUAAUAGGGAUAGUUGGGGGCGAUUAGUAUUCAAUUGUCAGAGGUGAAAUUCUUGGAUUUAUUGAAGACUAACUACUGCGAAAGCAUUUGCCAAGGAUGUUUUCAUUAAUCAAGAACGAAAGUUAGGGGAUCGAAGACGAUCAGAUACCGUCGUAGUCCUAACCAUAAACUAUGCCGACUAGGGAUCGGAUGAUGUUAAUUUUUUAAUGACUCAUUCGGCGCCUU
rnacentral:rRNA from 1 species